rnacentral:tRNA from 1 species
UCCCUGAUGGCUCAGAUGGUAAAGAAUCUGCCUGUAAUGCAGGAGACUUGGGUUCGGUUCCCGGGUUGGGAA